GAUGGUGGCUGCAUUCUGUUAUGGAAAGCUGUAAGAACUAUAAUGCUGUCUUGAUAACUGAGGAACAAUUGCUUAUUUAAGGAUGACGAAAUGUGCAGUUCCUCACUGCCCAAAUAGAAAAAUGAAAUGGAUACAAAGGAAAGGGGCACUACCUUUCACAGGCAGUGGUUCCCAAACUUGACCAUACCAAGGACCCCCAGAUGUAAUGAGUCCCAGCUGAGUACCCCAGCCAAUCGAAAGUUAUCAUUAUCAUGGUGGGCAACCCAGUACAACAUAGUACAUCUAAUGUUUGCAAAUUCCUGCACAACAUAUUUUCUUCUUACCGUGACGAUUUAGACCACUGGGAACAGUGCUAAGUAGCCUUCAGAAGUUAAGGAGAUUGAAUGUUUAACCCUCAGCUUUAGAGUUUGACAAUGCAUAGAAACUCUUUGAGUUGUUUUCUGAAGAAACUUUCCAGAAUUUUGAUUUUGAAGGUGAAGAUUCUACUGUAUGUCAAGGUAUGAUAAAUAUUUAAGUAGACAUCAUAUUCUAAAAGGCAAUACCUGUGAAUUUCUUGCUCUCUACUUCACACAUUCUCAGUAUCACACAGACCUAGAUAUUUACACAAUAAAAGCAAUGAUUAUUGUACAUAAAAUUUUUGAAAGGUUAUCCUGCACUGAAUGUAUGGCUGCAAUGUUAAGUGAAAAAUACAUAUAUGACUUUACUGCCCUCUUUUUUUAGGAAAUAUGUUAUAAAACCUUCAUAGUAUGUUGUCAAAACUUAUAAAAAUCUCGAAAGAUUUCUGAAAACUAAGUUAAUUUUUAAUAAAACUGUGAUUGAGGGAACAAUAGCAUAUAUUUUCAGAGUACUGUGGCCUCAGGCAACUAUUGUAUAUUUACCUGAAACUUCAAAUAAACAUUUUACUGAAGAACCA